GGUGUGUGUCUGAAUCUGGAGAAAACAGUAAUCCCGUCAACAUCACAGUGCAUGAUGGUGAUGUGAUCCUGGAGAGUCCUGUCCAUCCUGUGACUGAGGGACAUCCUCUGACUCUACGCUGUUUAUAUCACAACCCAAAUCCCUCAAACCUCCGAGCUGAUUUCUAUAAAGAUGGAUCAGUUCUCCAGAACCAGACUACAGGAGAGAUGAUCAUCCAAACUGUCUCAAAGUCAGAUGAAGGUUUCUACCACUGUGAACACCCAGAGAGAGGAGAGUCACUGAAAAGCUGGGUCUCAGUCAGACUCUCAGGUCCUCUAUCCAAUGAUGGAACAUUAGGACUGGUUGUUUGUUUGGGAUUUUUGUUCAUCGCUUUUCUGAUCUUAAUGAUGCUGCUGUGGUCCUACAAAAGAAAAAAAGGUCAGAUUAC